rnacentral:rRNA from 1 species
CAGAUCACGUAAAAAUUUAAUAGUCGAACAGACUACGCAUUCCAAGCUCCUACACCUAAAAUUAAUUUUAAUUCAACAUCGAGGUCGCAACCUUAAUUAUUAAUAAGAACUUGCUAAUUAAAUAACGCUGUUAUCCCUAGAGUAACUAAUAAACUAAAAUUUUCCACCUAAAAAUUAAUUUCUUCAGUGAUUGCCCCAAUCAAAAAUAUAAAUAUACCUAAAGCUUCUAGGGUCUUCUCGUCCCAGAAAUUUAUAAAAGCAUUUUUACCUUUAAUUUAAGUUCAAAACAUAUUAAAUAAAACCCUCUCCUUAGUAUCUACCUUUCAUUCCAGUCUUCAAUUAAAAAA